GAAUCGUUGAGCGGGCGCCGGUCGCUUACCGACGCAUGGCAGUUUUAAACGAUUAAAUACAUUCCUUUUUAUUAUAUAUAAAAUUAUACUAACGGAGGGUUACCUACGUCAUCUACUUUGUAAAACCUAUUUGAGAGGUUCGGGUUACCAAACCUCUUUGUAUCAAAACCGAGCCACGUGCAAGAUAAGUCAUAUAUUGCCUUAUUUCUACAUAUUUAAACACUCUGUGGACUCAACCGAGGAAUUGUUGCUGAUUUGGAGCUGUUGGAGGCUCUGCUGUUAUGGAGGAGAGGGUGCUUGUCCGGUGGCCUGCUGUUGCUGCUGGUGCUAUUUGCUGCUUCGCACUGCUUUUAUUUAUUUGUUGACACUGCGUUCAGGCCUUUUGCCGUCCACUGCUGGACGAAAGCCUCCCCCAUAGAACGCCAACCAUCCCGAUCUUGGGCAGUCCGCAUCCAUCCCGAUUCAUUUUUUAUAUUAAUCAAUUAUAAU